CCUACGGGAGGCAGCAGUGGGGAAUUUUGGACAAUGGGCGAAAGCCUGAUCCAGCCAUUCCGCGUGAGUGAAGAAGGCCUUCGGGUUGUAAAGCUCUUUCGCAAGGGAAGAAAACUUAGUCUCUAACAUAGACUGAGGUUGACGGUACCUUGAUAAGAAGCACCGGCUAACUACGUGCCAGCAGCCGCGGUAAUACGUAGGGUGCGAGCGUUAAUCGGAAUUACUGGGCGUAAAGCGUGCGCAGGCGGUUUUGUAAGUCAGAUGUGAAAUCCCCGAGCUCAACUUGGGAACUGCGUUUGAAACUACAAGACUAGAAUAUGUCAGAGGGGGGUAGAAUUCCACGUGUAGCAGUGAAAUGCGUAGAGAUGUGGAGGAAUACCAAUGGCGAAGGCAGCCCCCUGGGAUAAUAUUGACGCUCAUGCACGAAAGCGUGGGGAGCAAACAGGAUUAGAUACCCUGGUAGUCCACGCCCUAAACGAUGUCUACUAGUUGUUGGUGGAGUAAAAUCCAUGAGUAACGCAGCUAACGCGUGAAGUAGACCGCCUGGGGAUACGGUCGCAAGNUUAAAACUCAAAUGAAUUGACGGCUGAGAGAGCGAGACGACGACGAGGGAGGAGG
rnacentral:rRNA from 1 species